UGAACAUAUGGAAGAUAGAGUGUUGUGUGUGAGGAACAGAAAGGAAGUCAAAUGUCACUGGAGCCUGUCAAGCAUUCCGAUGUCUUGCUAGAGGAAUGGAGCUCAAUCACCUGACAGGACUCCCCAAAAGAAUGUACAUGG
rnacentral:lncRNA from 1 species